rnacentral:lncRNA from 1 species
CGCCGGAUCCUUUCAACGCUGCAUCAUCGGCAACCAGGAAAAGAAGCGUCUCAACAAAAGCUUUCUUCAUCAAGAAGCAGAGAAUCUCGUCGAGAAAAUUCAAAAUUUCAACGUCAACAACACUGAGUUCGACUACGGCUCAAACUCGACUUCGACUCGGACUAGCCCACACAGGCUGAUGACCAAGUCAUCCCACAAGUCGAUUUCAACUCGAAAUCGAUUCCCACACGGACUCC